rnacentral:snoRNA from 1 species
CUACAUGAUGACCCAACACAUUUGUUUACUUAUUCUGGUACCUCUUAUGUUAGUUUGAGGUGGCUUCAUGUCAUCUCAUUCGAUGAAUGGAAAGGACUUCUGAUC